CCUACGGGAGGCAGCAGUGGGGAAUAUUGCACAAUGGGGGAAACCCUGAUGCAGCGACGCCGCGUGAAGGAAGAAGUAUUUCGGUAUGUAAACUUCUAUCAGCAGGGAAGAAAAUGACGGUACCUGACUAAGAAGCUCCGGCUAACUACGUGCCAGCAGCCGCGGUAAUACGGAGGGAGCAAGCGUUAUCCGGAUUUACUGGGUGUAAAGGGAGCGUAGGCGGUGCAGCAAGUCAGAAGUGAAAGCCUGGGGCUCAACGGUGGGACUGCUAUUGAAACUGUUGAACUAGAGUGCAGGUGAGGUAAGUGGAAUUCGUAGUGUAGCGGUGAAAUGCGUAGAUAUUAGGAAGAACACCGGUGGCGAAGGCAGCUUACUGGACUGUAAAUGACGCUGAGGCUCGAAAGCGUGGGGAGCAAACAGGAUUAGAUACCCUAGUAGUC
rnacentral:rRNA from 1 species